rnacentral:rRNA from 1 species
CUACGGGACGCACCAGUGAGGAAUAUUGCACAAUGGGGAGAACCCUGAUGCAGCAACGCCGCGUGGAGGAUGACGCAUUUCGGUGUGUAAACUCCUUUUAUAUGUCAAGAAAAUGACGGUAGCAUAUGAAUAAGCACCGGCUAACUCCGUGCCAGCAGCCGCGGUAAUACGGAGGGUGCAAGCGUUACUCGGAAUCACUGGGCGUAAGGGACGCGUAGGCGGGUUGGAAAGUCAGGUGUGAAAUCCUACAGCUUAACUGUAGAACUGCACUUGAAACUUCUAAUCUAGAGUAUGGGAUGGGGAGAUGGAAUUAGUGGUGUAGGGGUAAAAUCCGUAGAUAUCACUAGGAAUACCUAAAGCGAAGGCGAUCUCCUGGAACAUUACUGACGCUAAGGCGUGAAAGCGUGGGGAGCAAACAGGAUUAGAUACCCCGGUAGUC